rnacentral:rRNA from 1 species
AUGAACGCUGGCGGCGUGCCUAAUACAUGCCAGUCGAGCGAACAGAUAAGGAGCUUGCUCCUUUGACGUUAGCGGCGGACGGGUGAGUAACACGUGGGUAACCUACCUAUAAGACUGGAAUAACUCCGGGAAACCGGGGCUAAUGCCGGAUAACAUUUAGAACCGCAUGGUUCUAAAGUGAAAGAUGGUUUUGCUAUCACUUAUAGAUGGACCCGCGCCGUAUUAGCUAGUUGGUAAGGUAACGGCUUACCAAGGCAACGAUACGUAGCCGACCUGAGAGGGUGAUCGGCCACACUGGAACUGAGACACGGUCCAGACUCCUACGGGAGGCAGCAGUAGGGAAUCUUCCGCAAUGGGCGAAAGCCUGACGGAGCAACGCCGCGUGAGUGAUGAAGGUCUUCGGAUCGUAAAACUCUGUUAUUAGGGAAGAACAAAUGUGUAAGUAACUGUGCACGUCUUGACGGUACCUAAUCAGAAAGCCACGGCUAACUACGUG